rnacentral:lncRNA from 10 species
GCUUUCUCUUCGCUUUCUACCAUGAUUGUAAGUUUCCUGAAGGCUCCCCAGCCAUGCUGAACGAAUGGUGCAGGCUCUGGCUGCUGGCGUUAUAAACUGGACGGCAAGGCUACCGGGAGCUGACAGCACGAGGAGGUGGCUGAAAAAGUCAUAGCCAUCUGACGGACUCUGGACAGACCCCACCAGAAUUAGUGAUGUAUGAGAGAAGAGAAAAAACAAAAGGGCAUGUUGUUAUUUUCUUAAAUACGUGAUAAGUAGGGCC